CCUCACGUAUCAGUUUAACGCUCUUUGCAUCUUUCCCUCACGUCUUUGUAUCUUUCCCUCACGUAUAUGUGCGUUCAAAAUCUUGAUGAGCGUUCAAAACCUUUGCAUCUUUCCCUCACGUGUGCGUUCAAAAUCUUGCAUCUUUCCCUCACGGUACUAUACAAUGAGCGUUCAAAUCUUUGCAUCUUUCCCCCACGGUACUACAAUGUGCGUUCAAAAUCUUGCAUCUCUCCCUCACGGUACUAUCAAUGUGCGUUCAAAAUCUUUGCAUCUUUCCCUCACGUGUGCGUUCAAAAUCUUGAUGAGCGUUCAAAACCUUUGCAUCUUUCCCUCACGUAUAUGUGCGUUCAAAAUCUUGAUGGGCGUUCAAAACCUUUGCAUCCUUCCCUCACGUAUGUGCGUUCAAAAUCUUGAUGAGCGUUCAAAAUCUUUGCAUCUUUCCCUCACGGUACUAUACAAUGUGCGUUCAAGAUCCUGGAUCAUUCCCUCACGGUACUCAAUGUGCGUUCAAAACUUGAGAUGUGCGUUCAAAACCUUGCAUCUUUCCCUCACGGUACUGCAUCUUUCCCUCACGGUACUCAAUGUGCGUUCAAAACCUUUGCAUCUUUCCCU
rnacentral:misc_RNA from 1 species